rnacentral:rRNA from 1 species
AUUGAACGCUGGCGGCAGGCCUAACACAUGCAAGUCGAGCGAGCGGCGGACGGGUGCGUAAUGUCUGGGAAACUGCCUGAUGGAGGGGGAUAACUACUGGAAACGGUAGCUAAUACCGCAUAACAUCAGAUGGGCCCCUCUGGGAUUAGCUCGUAGGUGGGGUAACGGCGCACCUAGACGACGAUCCCUAGCUGGUCUGAGAGGAUGACCAGCGACACGGGAACGGAGACACGGUCCAGACUCCUACGGGAGGCAGCAGUGGGGAAUAUUGCACAAUGGGCGCAAGCCUGAUGCAGCCAUGCCGCGUGUGUGAAGAAGGCCUUCGGGUUGUAAAGCACUUUCAGCGGGGAGGCGUUACUCGCAGAAGAAGCACCGGCUAACUCCGUGCCAGCCGCCGCGGUAAUUC